rnacentral:lncRNA from 1 species
AUGUUCAAUCUUUUGACCAUGCUUUUUUCUUUGUUUUCUGCAGAUAAAAAAGAAAUCUGUGUGGUCAAUCCAACAAUUUUAACAAAGAGUAUUGGAGCGACAACUAAUGGAACAAUUAAAGAAAAUAAUAAUGUCAUCAUCAAUGUGGUGAAUGGUAGUCAUAAACAAAAUGGCACUGCUAUUUCGAAUCAAAGUUCCCUCACUGAUUUGUCCCGAGCGGCAGAUAGUCCUGUAAAAAGUGUAAAAAAAGAUGUUAGCAAAGUUUGUACAGUAGAAGUUGAAGUUAUUGAUGGAAAGAAAAAACGUUUAUCUGAUCAGGCCUACUUUAUCACCAAAGAACUAUUGUCUACAGAAAGAACAUUCCGUAAAGACCUCAAAGUGAUUACUUUUUGGUUCAAAGAUGAACUGAUAAAAGAGCAGGGAUCCUUGCAGCUGGGUUUCAUUGACCAGUUGAUGAGUGUGUUGGAGCGGAUACAGAGCCAGCAGACAACGUUCAUCAAAGACCUCGAGAUGAAGACGCAACUCUGGGAUGACUGCACCCAGUAUUCACUGGCUGAUAUCCUCAUCAAACAUUUCGAUAACCUACAGGUGUGCCUCUGA